CCUACGGGUGGCAGCAGUGAGGAAUAUUGGUCAAUGGACGAGAGUCUGAACCAGCCAAGUAGCGUGAAGGAUGACUGCCCUAUGGGUUGUAAACUUCUUUUAUAUGGGAAUAAAACGUUCCACGUGUGGGAUUUUGUAUGUACCAUAUGACUAAGUAUCGGCUAACUCCGUGCCAGCAGCCGCGGUAAUACUGAGGAUCCGAGCGUUAUCCGGAUUUAUUGGGUUUAAAGGGAGCGUAGGUGGAUUGUUAAGUCAGUUGUGAAAGUUUGCUGCUCAACCGUAAAAUUGCAGUUGAAACUGGCAGUCUUGAGUACAGUAGAGGUGGGCGGAAUUCGUGGUGUAGCGGUGAAAUGCUUAGAUAUCACGAAGAACUCCGAUUGCGAAGGCAGUUCACUGGACUGCAACUGACACUGAGGCUCGAAAGUGUGGGUAUCAAACAGGAUUAGAUACCCGAGUAGUC
rnacentral:rRNA from 1 species